rnacentral:rRNA from 1 species
GCUCGAGGAGGUUGGCAACGACCACCUUAAGCCGGAAAGUUCGUCAAACUCGGUCAUUUAGAGGAAGUAAAAGUCGUAACAAGGUCUCCGUAGGUGAACCUGCGGAGGGAUCAUUA